GCGCCCUGGGCGUAGGCGGGCGGGCGUUGCUAGGCGACGGGUGUCGGGAAAGCUAAAUUGAGUAGUCAGGAUUAGGGAAUCUACUCCAGUCAUCUUUCUAGUUCACAUGACAGAGAGAGGUCAAAACACCAACGAGGACCCCCGGGACUGGCAGGAAGAACGGAUGACGCUGGGGAAGGGCCAUGAUUCCUGAGGAAGAAGGGAGAAGAGAAUGGUCUAAGAUGGAACCAGGUGUGCCAGAAAAGACUUGAAGACACCUCUGGAGACAUCUGGGAGAAUGCAUGGUAAAACGGCAGUGUUAGCAAACAGUAGCUAUCACUACUACUGUGGAAUGAAAGUGACGAGAAACCAUUAAAACCCUCAUUUAAUCCACCGAGA
rnacentral:lncRNA from 1 species